rnacentral:rRNA from 1 species
GGAAUAUUGGACAAUGGGGGCAACCCUGAUCCAGCAAUGCCGCGUGUGUGAAGAAGGCCUGCGGGUUGUAAAGCACUUUCAGUAGAGAAGAAAUGCCUAAGGUUAAUCACAUUGAGUCUUGACGUAACCUACAGAUGAAGCACCGGCUAAUUCCGUGCCAGCAGCAGCGGUAAUACGGAGGGUGCAAGCGUUCAUCGGAAUUACUGGGCGUAAAGCGCACGUAGGCGGUUUGUUAAGCCAGCUGUGAAAUCCCCGGGCUCAACCUGGGAAUUGCAGUUGGAACUGGCAAGCUAGAGUAUGGUAGAGGGGUGUGGAAUUUCAGGUGUAGCGGUGAAAUGCGUAGAUAUCUGAAGGAACAUCAGUGGCGAAGGCGACACCCUGGAUCAAUACUGACGCUGAGGUGCGAAAGCGUGGGGAGCAAAC